rnacentral:rRNA from 1 species
UGAGGAAUAUUGGUCAAUGGGCGGAAGCCUGAACCAGCCAAGUCGCGUGAGGGAAGAAGGCCCUGCGGGUCGCAGACCUCUUUGGACGGGGAGCAAGGCCGCGGACGUGUCCGCGGAAGGAGAGUACCCGUAGAACAAGCAUCGGCUAACUCCGUGCC